GCAUCUAAACCAAAACACCUCAAUUAUGUAAUUCUAAAAUAAUUCAACUGAAAUAAAUGCAAUCUUAUUCCAUUGACUAACUCAAGUCAUAAGGUCUCACAAGUCUAAAUACGCAGCGGAACAAUAAACAUAAAACAUCAAUUUAAAUAAAGCCUAAUCUAGGAUAACUUGUGCUUCAGUUCUUCUAGUCGCUCUCCCAUUUUAAAUCCCCGAUAGGUUAGUUCUCAGAAUCUGUAAAACAACAAGAAAUUGUAUAAUGAGCUAGACAGCCCAGUAAGUAAUAAACACCUUAACUAGUCAAUUCAUAUAAUAACAUAAAAUAUAAAUACAAAUUACGAUGAAUCAACAUAAUAGCAUAAUCAAUUUCUUUUCAAGCACAAAUUUAUUAAAAUUCGUAUUUUUCAAAUAUCUAUAUACAUAAUCAUAAAUCUGAUUCGAAACAAAUCAUAUUCAUCUCAUCAACCUUUAGCUACGACCACACUUAUACCCUGUGGCUAGGCCAGAAACAGAACCGCACUUAUACCCCGCGGAGUGGGCCAGAAUACCGCACUUAUACCCUGCGGAGUGGGCCAGAAUACCACACUUAUACCCUGUGGUGGGGCCAGAAUUGCCAAUGCAUAACCCCCUAUUGGCAGGGUCCAGAACAUAGCCAGGCAGAGAGUUCUAAAUCUGAUGCACAUCAAAAAUUUUUUGUAACAUAAUAGAUAUAUCAUAAUUCGAUCUAAAUAUGCAUAUACGAUACAAAAACAGUAAUAUAACAAUAGUCCAAAAAUAUUAUUCCAAUUCACA
rnacentral:lncRNA from 1 species